rnacentral:lncRNA from 10 species
GAGGAUAGAAAAGUAUAGAGGAAAAAGGAAGUUCCACCUCCAUGAUCCUUUAGUCCUCUAGCUGUUCUCCCCAGAGAAAGCAACUCUAAGUUUCUUGCAGAAAGGACCUGGAUACACUAGUAGAUGUACCAUAAUUUAUGUAAACAGUCUGCUAUUGAAGGACAUUGGUUUGUUUCCCACCAUCUUCCACUCCAAAUCAUGCUGCAGUGAUUAUCCCUGAGUGUAUGUCUCUCUGCACACAGGCAAGGAAUGAGAAGCAGCAAGUUAAAUGCAGAACAGAAAUGAAGCUGUUAGACCAAAUUUUCAGCUUCUCACAUGGCACCUCUAUCUGUGAAUACGAUUUUCUCACUUGUUAGAGCCUCUGUCACAUAAUACACUUGCCACAGAAUACUGCCACAGAGAAGAGCAAAGGAAGACAGCUGGCUAGCCAAAUGUCCCCACAAUGGAAUAGUGCCUGAAAGACCCAUGGGGGAGCUGUCCAUCAGAGCCACACUCCCCACCAGCUCCUUGGAAGGCACCCCCAAAAGCAGGAGUGGAGAGUCCAAAUGUCAUCUGCCCUCGAACACCACAUGAAAUGGGGAGUACCCUUCACUCAGAGAGCAGCCCACCCCUCUUCCUCCUUUCAGGGAGGGUUACCACAGUGGAAGUGAAGCUCCUCAACAAGCCUUCAGCUCUGUGAUGAAAUUCCCUGGUCCUCCACACCUAUCCAUCCCUGACAGAGUAUGAUCAGUUUGCUUCUAUUUCUAGUAGAAUAUAUUUCACAGCAUAAUAGUUCAAAGAAACCUUACAACCCUA